rnacentral:rRNA from 1 species
GACGAACGCUGGCGGCGUGCUUAACACAUGCAAGUCGAACGGAAAGGCCCUGCUUUUGUGGGGUGCUCGAGUGGCGAACGGGUGAGUAACACGUGAGUAACCUGCCCUUGACUUUGGGAUAACUUCAGGAAACUGGGGCUAAUACCGGAUAGGAGCUCCUGCUGCAUGGUGGGGGUUGGAAAGUUUCGGCGGUUGGGGAUGGACUCGCGGCUUAUCAGCUUGUUGGUGGGGUAGUGGUUUACCAAGGCUUUGACGGGUAGCCGGCCUGAGAGGGUGACCGGCCACAUUGGGACUGAGAUACGGCCCAGACUCCUACGGGAGGCAGCAGUGGGGAAUAUUGCACAAUGGGCGGAAGCCUGAUGCAGCAACGCCGCGUGCGGGAUGACGGUCUUCGGGUUGUAAACCGCUUUCGCCUGUGACGAAGCGUGAGUGACGGUAAUGGGUAAAGAAGCACCGGCUAACUACGUG